AUUGAACGCUGGCGGCAUGCCUUACACAUGCAAGUCGAGCGGCAGCGCGGGGGCAACCCUGGCGGCGAGCGGCGGACGGGUGAGUAAUACAUCGGAACGUGUCCUUUUGUGGGGGAUAACCAGUCGAAAGACUGGCUAAUACCGCAUGAGAUCUCACGAUGAAAGCGGGGGACCCGUAAGGGCCUCGCGCGAUUGGAGCGGCCGAUGUCGGAUUAGCUAGUUGGCGGGGUAAAAGCCCACCAAGGCGACGAUCCGUAGCUGGUUUGAGAG
rnacentral:rRNA from 1 species